rnacentral:rRNA from 1 species
AGGGAAGGCUGGCGGCAUGAUUUACACAUGCAAGUCGAACGGUAACAGGCCGCAAGGUGCUGACGAGUGGCGAACGGGUGAGUAAUGCAUCGGAACGUGCCCAGUCGUGGGGGAUAACUACUCGAAAGAGUAGCUAAUACCGCAUACGAUCUAUGGAUGAAAGCGGGGGACCGUAAGGCCUCGCGCGAUUGGAGCGGCCGAUGUCAGAUUAGGUAGUUGGUGGGGUAAAGGCUCACCAAGCCAACGAUCUGUAGCUGGUCUGAGAGGACGACCAGCCACACUGGGACUGAGACACGGCCCAGACUCCUACGGGAGGCAGCAGUGGGGAAUUUUGGACAAUGGGCGCAAGCCUGAUCCAGCAAUGCCGCGUGCAGGAAGAAGGCCUUCGGGUUGUAAACUGCUUUUGUACGGAACGAAACGGCUCUGGUUAAUACCCGGGGCUAAUGACGGUACCGUAAGAAUAAGCACCGGCUAACUACGUG